rnacentral:lncRNA from 1 species
CCUCAUGAGGUUCCAUCCCCAGCUUAAUGCCCAGUACAAUCUGCAAAAUCUCAAAUGAGCAUUAAAAGGGGAAAGCUAGCAUCUCCAAGUAGGUUAUUCGGCAACUCUAUCCAGUGAAGCAAGACCAGUCUAUUCAAAAGCAAUUUAUAUCUAUGUAAAUUCAAAGUAAACAAUAACAUGUAAGUUACUGACAUAGUCAGGUUAUUCUGCAACUCUAUCCAGUGAAGCAAGACCAGUCUAUUCAACAACAACAACAACAACAACAACCCCGUAUAAUCCCACUUAGUGGGGUAUGGGGAGGGUAGUAUGUACACAGACCUUACCCCUACCCUUUGGUAGAGAGGCUGUUUCCAAAUAGAACCCCGGCAUCCUUCCCUCCAAGAACUUCUCACCUUGCUCUUGGGGAGACUCGAACUCACAACCUCU